GACGAACGCUGGCGGCGUGCUUAACACAUGCAAGUCGAACGGAAAGGCCCUGCUUUUGUGGGGUGCUCGAGUGGCGAACGGGUGAGUAACACGUGAGUAACCUGCCCUUGACUUUGGGAUAACUUCAGGAAACUGGGGCUAAUACCUGAUAGGAGCUCCUGCUGCAUGGUGGGGGUUGGAAAGUUUCGGCGGUUGGGGAUGGACUCGCGGCUUAUCAGCUUGUUGGUGGGGUAGUGGCUUACCAAGGCUUUGACGGGUAGCCGGCCUGAGAGGGUGACCGGCCACAUUGGGACUGAGAUACGGCCCAGACUCCUACGGGAGGCAGAAGUGGGGAAUAUUGCACAAUGGGCGGAAGCCUGAUGCAGCAACGCCGCGUGCGGGAUGACGGCCUUCGGGUUGUAAACCGCUUUCGCCUGUGACGAAGCGUGAGUGACGGUAAUGGGUAAAGAAGCACCGGCUAACUACGUG
rnacentral:rRNA from 1 species